rnacentral:rRNA from 1 species
CUGCUGCCUUCCGUAGGAGUCUGGUCCGUGUCUCAGUCCCAGUGUGGGGGGCCUUCCUCUCAGAACCCCUACGCAUCGUCGCCACGGUGGGCCGUCACCCCGCCGUCUAGCUAAUGCGCCGCAUGCCCAUCCGCCACCGGAUCGCUCCUUUGGCCACCGGAGGAUGCCCUCCGGUGGCGUCACGGGGUAUUAGGCCGCGUUUCCGCGGGUUAUCCCCCUGUGGCGGCCAGGUUGCAUACGUGUUACUCACCCGUGCGCCGGUCGCCGGCGGG